rnacentral:tRNA from 1 species
UUCCUGGUGGUCUAGUGGUUAGGACUUGGCGCUUUCACCACUGCGGCUCAGGUUUAAGCCCUGGCCUGGGAA